rnacentral:rRNA from 1 species
CGUCCAGACUCCUACGGGAGGCAGCAGUGGGGGAUAUUGCACAAUGGGGGAAACCCUGAUGCAGCGACGCCGCGUGAGUGAAGAAGUAUUUCGGUACGUAAAGCUCUAUCAGCAGGGAAGAAUAAUGACGGUACCUGACUAAGAAGCCCCGGCUAACUACGUGCCAGCAGCCGCGGUAAUACGUAGGGGGCAAGCGUUAUCCGGAUUUACUGGGUGUAAAGGGAGCGUAGACGGUUAUGUAAGUCUGGAGUGAAAGCCCGGGGCCCAACCCCGGGACUGCUUUGGAAACUGUGUAACUGGAGUACAGGAGGGGCAGGCGGAAUUCCUGGUGUAGCGGUGAAAUGCGUAGAUAUCAGGAGGAACACCGGCGGCGAAGGCGGCCUGCUGGACUGAAACUGACGUUGAGGCUCGAAAGCGUGGGGAGCAAACAGGAUUAGAUACCCGAGUA